rnacentral:rRNA from 1 species
GAUGAACGCUGGCGGCGUGCCUAAUACAUGCAAGUCGAGCGAACGGACGAGAAGCUUGCUUCUCUGAGGUUAGCGGCGGACGGGUGAGUAACACGUGGAGAACCUACCUAUAAGACUGGGAUAACUUCGGGAAACCGGAGCUAAGACCGGAUAAUAUUUUGAACCGCAUGGUGCAAAAGUGAAAGACGGUCUUGCUGUCACUUAUAGAUGGAUCCGCGCUGCAUUAGCUAGUUGGUAAGGUAACGGCUUACCAAGGCAACGAUGCAUAGCCGACCUGAGAGGGGGAUCGGCCACACUGGAACUGAGACACGGUCCAGACUCCUACGGGAGGCAGCAGUAGGGACCCUCCCGCAAUGGGCGAAAGCCUGACGGAGCAACGCCGCGUGAGUGAUGAAGGUAUUCGGAUCGUAAAACUCUGUUAUUAGGGAAGAACAUAUGUGUAAGUAACUGUGCAAGCCUUGACGGUACCUAAUCAGAAAGCAACGGCUAACUCCGUG